rnacentral:rRNA from 1 species
GAUGAACGCUGGCGGCGUGCCUAAUACAUGCAAGUCGAGCGAACGGACGAGAAGCUUGCUUCUCUGAUGUUAGCGGCGGACGGGUGAGUAACACGUGGAUAACCUACCUAUAAGACUGGGAUAACUUCGGGAAACCGGAGCUAAUACCGGAUAAUAUUUUGAACCGCAUGGUUCAAAAGUGAAAGACGGUCUUGCUGUCACUUAUAGAUGGAUCCGCGCUGCAUUAGCUAGUUGGUAAGGUAACGGCUUACCAAGGCAACGAUGCAUAGCCGACCUAAGAGGGUGAUCGGCCACACUGGAACUGAGACACGGUCCAGACUCCUACGGGAGGCAGCAGUAGGGAAUCUUCCGCAAUGGGCGAAAGCCUGACGGAGCAACGCCGCGUGAGUGAUGAAGGUCUUCGGAUCGUAAAACUCUGUUAUUAGGGAAGAGCAUAUGUGUAAGUAACUGUGCACAUCUUGACGGUACCUAAUCAGAAAGCCACGGCUAACUACGUG